UACGGAGGGAGCAAGCGUUACUCGGAAUUAUUGGGCGUAAAGGGCGCGUAGGCGAUUUGAAAAGUCUUGUGUGAAAGCCCCGAGCUUAACUCGGGAAGUGCACAAGAAACUGUUGAAUUUGAGUUCCGGAGAGGAAGGCGGAAUUCCCGGUGUAGCGGUGAAAUGCGUAGAUAUCGGGAGGAAUACCAGUGGCGAAGGCGGCCUUCUGGACGGAUACUGACGCUGAGGCGCGAAAGCCAGGGGAGCAAACGGG
rnacentral:rRNA from 1 species